rnacentral:rRNA from 1 species
CCUGAUGCAGCGACGCCGCGUGAGGGAUGACGGCCUUCGGGUUGUAAACCUCUUUCAGCAGGGACGAAGCGCAAGUGACGGUACCUGCAGAAGAAGCACCGGCUAACUACGUGCCAGCAGCCGCGGUAAUACGUAGGGUGCAAGCGUUGUCCGGAAUUACUGGGCGUAAAGAGUUCGUAGGCGGUUUGUCGCGUCGUUUGUGAAAACCAGCAGCUCAACUGCUGGCUUGCAGGCGAUACGGGCAGACUUGAGUACUGCAGGGGAGACUGGAAUUCCUGGUGUAGCGGUGAAAUGCGCAGAUAUCAGGAGGAACACCGGUGGCGAAGGCGGGUCUCUGGGCAGUAACUGACGCUGAGGAACGAAAGCGUGGGUAGCGAACAGGAUUAGAUACCCUGGUAGUCCACGCCGUAAACGGUGGGCGCUAGGUGUGGGUUCCUUCCACGGAAUCCGUGCCGUAGCUAACGCAUUAAGCGCCCCGCCUGGGGAGUACGGCCGCAAGGCUAAAACUCAAAGGAAUUGACGGGGGCCCGCACAAGCGGCGGAGCAUGUGGAUUAAUUCGAUGCAACGCGAAGAACCUUACCUGGGUUUGACAUAUACCGGAAAGCUGCAGAGAUGUGGCCCCCCUUGUGGUCG